rnacentral:misc_RNA from 1 species
GUGAAUCAUCAAAUCUUUGAACGCAAAUUGCACUUUCUGGUAUUCCGGAAAGUAUGCCUGUUUGAGGGUCAGUUAAAUAAAAAUCGGAGUUGUUGCCGCUUUUCGUGGCGUCGCGUCGGAAUUGAGUUGUCUUACCUUCGGUUAAGUGACUUAAAAUUUUGCAUGAUUUUCGAACGUAUUUAAAUUUCUUUCUUACGUUUAAAAUAUCGAAUACUUUAUUAGUUUCCGUCAUCCUCAUUGUUCG